AACAUUCCGUGCAUUUAAAAGCAAUCAAUCCCAACUCUCUAAGAAGGCUUGUUAAGAAUAUUUCUUAUGAGAAUGUAAAAACACUGGACGGUAGUCAGGAUCAGCUUCUCAUUCAGCAGUUCAUCAAGUGGGCUAUUUAUGGAUUGGGACUUCUGAUUUGUAAUACAUCGUCUCAGGGUUCGGUGUUAUCUUUUGAUUUCUUUCCAGCUGAACAGGCUAAGUAGUUGUAAAUACCUCUUGUCAGACUACAUGGUUGGCUAUUCUCGCACACAGAAGUAAUCUAGGAACCCACUGGGCAAGUUCGGCGGAAAGCCGCUGUGGAAGCCUGCAGCUGAUGUACACUGCAGAGCGAGGGAGGGGCGGUGAAGGUGGCGGGAGGCAGUGGCCAUGGUGGUUGCUGUGGCCUGGUCACUUCAGUUAUGUCAGGAACACCCUACAUGUUUGGAGGUAUGUGUUCUCGAGGCCUUCACUGGUUUGCCAUACUGACAAAGUAUAUUUUAAUGGCUACCGUGCAAAGUGUGAAGGAGAAGCAAUGGAGACUUCAUCCAUGAUAUGCAAAGAACAUGAAGGUGGACAAGCAACUUUCUUAGUCACUACCUGUGCCUUUCUCCGUGGAGAGGUACCACGUUUGCCACACCAUUUCCCAUGCAGCAAUGGACAUGCAUUUUACUCCAUCUUUUUCUUUUGUUUGUACUAAAGCUUUUUCUUCAUAAUCUGUUUUCAAAUCUGUUCAUGUUUUGAAUGUACAAUUGUAGAAUUUGAGUUGGGGGAAAAAGAUAAAGAAGUAAAGGUCAUAUUGAUUUUCUUUUAAAAAGAGGAGAAAGAACUGGCCAAUUUCAUAAUAAAAAUGAGGAAAGUGGACAAGUAUGAAAUAUACACAUCUCCACUGGGAAUUUCUAGUCAUUUUCAUGUCAGCUGACUGUGUCAUUCUACCAAAUGGAACUCACUGAAAUCAUAUAGUUCUAUAAUUAUAAAAUCGAUUUGGGAAAAGAAAAAAAGUGCUUUAAUUUCUGUUGCUUCAAGGGAUUAUCCAUUCAAAACAUUUUUCUGUCCACUAUAAAUUGUAUUGGAAACUAAGCUAUAAGAAAUAAAGAUAGUAAAUGUCUAACACAAA